rnacentral:rRNA from 1 species
CACGUAGGGAGCAAGCGUUGUUCGGAUUUACUGGGCGUAAAGGGCGCGUAGGCGGCAAAUUAAGUCAGCUGUGAAAUCUCCGAGCUUAACUCGGAACUGUCAGCUGAUACUGAUCUGCUAGAGUGCGGAAGGGGCAAUCGGAAUUCUUGGUGUAGCGGUGAAAUGCGCAGAUAUCAGGAGGAACACCGGUGGCGAAGGCGGAUCUCUGGGCCUGUCCUGACGCUCGAGGCGCGAAAGCUAGGGGAGCAAACAGG